AGCAGCCGCGGUAAUUCCAGCUCCAAUAGCGUAUAUUAAAGUUGUUGCAGUUAAAAAGCUCGUAGUUGAAUUUCGGGGUUAGUAGGUUGGUCAUGCCUCUGGUAUGUACUGGUCUCACUGAUUCCUCCUUCCUGAUGAGCCGUAAUGCCAUUAAUUUGGUGUUGCGGGGAAUCUGGACUGUUACUUUGAAAAAUUAGAGUGUUUAAAGCAAGCUAACGCUUGAAUACAUUAGCAUGGAAUAAUGAAAUAGGACGUUCGAUCCUAUUUUGUUGGUUUCUAGGAUUGACGUAAUGAUUAAUAGGGAUAGCUGGGGGCAUUAGUAUUCAAUUGUCAGAGGUGAAAUUCUUGGAUUUAUUGAAGACUAACUACUGCGAAAGCAUUUGCCAAGGAUGUUUUCAUUAAUCAAGAACGAAAGUUAGGGGAUCGAAGACGAUCAGAUACCGUCGUAGUCUUAACCAUAAACUAUGCUGACUAGGGAUCGGAUGAUGUUAAUUUUAAUGACUCAUUC
rnacentral:misc_RNA from 1 species